CUACUACUAAUCUAACUGUCUGUAGGUCCAACAGAACACAACACACCACUACUACUAAUCUAACUGUCUGUAGGUCCAACAGAACACAUUAAAACACACCACUACUACUAAUCUAACUGUCUGUAGGUCCAACAGAACACAACACACCACCACUACUAAUCUAACUGUCUGUAGGUCCAACAGAACACAUUAAAACACACCACUACUACUAAUCUAACUGUCUGUAGGUCCAACAGAACACAUUAAAACACACCACUACUACUAAUCUAACUGUCUGUAGGUCCAACAGAACACAUUAAAACACACCACUACUACUAAUCUAACUGUCUGUAGGUCCAACAGAACACAUUAAAACACACCACUACUACUAAUCUAACUGUCUGUAGGUCCAACAGAACCCAUUAAAACACACCUCUACUACUAACCUAACUGUCUGUAGGUCCAACAGAACACAAUAAAACACACCACUACUACUAAUAUAACUACUACUAAUCUAAGCCCAUAGAAACACAUUGAAGAACACAUACAUAGAAGACAGUCAAAUAAAUAAAUCAUAAGACAAGGUUUUGAAGUGUCUUUCCUACAUGUAGGAGAUAUAAGAAAGCUUUGGCAAUAUGUUUUACACAUAGUGAUUAACCCCUUUUUGGGGGUUUAGUGACAACACUACCUUCAAAUGAAAAUCUACCCUUUCC